UACGGAGGGUGCAAGCGUUAUCCGGAUUCACUGGGCUUAAAGGGUGCGUAGGUGGGUUGGUAAGUCAGUGGUGAAAUCUCCGAGCUUAACUUGGAAACUGCCAUUGAUACUAUCAGUCUUGAAUACCGUGGAGGUCAGCGGAAUAUGUCAUGUAGCGGUGAAAUGCUUAGAUAUGACAUAGAACACCAAUUGCGAAGGCAGCUGACUACACAACUAUUGACGCUGAGGCACGAAAGCGUGGGGAGCAAACAGG
rnacentral:rRNA from 1 species